UCAUGGAACGAAUACUGGAGCAUUAUGGUUCAAGUUUCUGUUUGAGUUUGCUGCAGUUUUCAUAUUUGCAGGACCCUUGAUUGUCGCUGAUUUCCUUUGAACUUUUGGCUUGAAAUGAGCAUCAAUGUCCUCUCCUUCACUAUCGUCGUUAAAAUCUUGGUCGUCUUCUGAAGAUGAAUAACCAGCAAGUCCUUCUCCCCAGUCCUCGUUAUCGUCAAAUUCUCUUUGGGUCAAUGUCCUCUCCUUCACUAUCGUCGUCAAACUCUUGGUCAUCUUCUGAAGAUGAAUAACCAGAAGUCCUUCUCCCCAGCCCUCGUCAUUGUCAAAAUCUCUUUAGUCUUUCCACAAUUUGGAUUUAAUGAC
rnacentral:lncRNA from 1 species